rnacentral:rRNA from 1 species
UACAGAGGUCUCAAGCGUUGUUCGGAUUCAUUGGGCGUAAAGGGUGUGUAGGUGGCGCGCUAAGUCGGGUGUGAAAGUCGGGGGCUCAACCCUCGGAUGCCGGUGGAUACUGUCGGGCUUGAGUACGGAAGAGGCGAGUGGAAUUCCUGGUGUAGCGGUGAAAUGCGCAGAUAUCAGGAGGAACACCGGUGGCGAAGGCGGGUCUCUGGGCCGAUACUGACGCUGAGGAGCGAAAGCGUGGGGAGCGAACAGG